UUGACUGUGCCCUGGCAGCCGACAGGCCCAGGGUGACCCUGGUUAGAGCCUUGCUGAUAUCUCUGGAUCACCAGAGCUGGUGAGCGCAGGAAAAGCAGAGCCUUGUCAUAGUGUCUAACUGCUCCUAACUGCUCCUAACUUCAGGUGUCUAACUGCUCCUAUCCACCUUCAGGGCCACUGUCUACCUACAUUGCAAGCCCAGGCCACAUCGGACACAGAAAAGCCAGAGCCCACACUGCCUAUCCCAAAUUGGACCCUGAGGGGCAAAGCAGAAGGGACAGGAGGGGGCAAAAUGGUCCCCAAUCAGCAUAUUCUGGGAGUUCAAGAGCUCUGGUCUGCGCAAUUCAGUGGAAAUGCUCAUUCUUGCCCACAGCUGGACACAGCCUGAUCACAGAGCCACAGAAGGAGAAAUUUCAUGGGCUGUUGCAUAUGAGUCCACACAAAUCCAUCUGUUCAAGACCAUACAGGAGCAUCAUCUGGAGACAGAGUCCUCACAGGGGUGCUUAAGGCCAAACAAAGCCGUAAGUGUGGACCGGAGCCAUCGGGACUGCAUCCUCAUGACACACAGAGGAAAGACCAGUGAGGGUUCCUUUGGGUAAAAGAGAGCUGCCUCAGGAGACCCAGCCCUGCCACAGCUUGGCCUUGGACUUCCAGCUUCGGGAUCCAGGAGACAGUGAACCUGGGGGCCCUGCAAGUUCCUGGCUGACAGUGAUACCAACGACAGCACCGUCCAGGCAAGAGCAUAUAGCUAAAAUUGGUGGCUUUGUAUGUGAGACAGCCCAUCACUGUUCCCUUGAGGCAUCCAGUGGGGCAAAUCAUCUGAUUGUCCCCUUGGGAUGCAGAGUUCCUUAGAAGCCAUGACUGCCCCAUCUGGAGCCUAUAUACCGCUGGACCCCAGCUGAAGUGACUUAUGGUACACAGGAGAAAAUGUAAGACCAUGCUGGAAGGGAGUCUUCUUGGCAACCACUACGUAACUUCUCAAUAACUUGCAUGUUGUUUCAAUUUAGACCUCAACAGAUCAGACUUCCUCAGGUGGGUUUCCCAGGAAACCCCAGUGGUCACGCUGGAGGAGAUGCAGCUGCUGAUGGGAUUUUCCCAGCAUUCUCUGCUUGGCUGGGCAGAAAUGCAGAUAGACAUUGCUACUUCUGGGGUUAAAAGGGCACCCACACCGAGCUCCAUCUCAAGGUCUCUGGAGGCAGAGAAGAACUACUUUCAGCAAUCAGGAAUGGCUCCGUUACCAAUCUGAGUUCUAGGACAUUCCACAACUCUAGCAAUGAUAAAAUGCCCUUCAUUCUAAUUGACAUUAUUUCCAACUUCAGGUGGGGUCAAUGAGCUCAGCUCUGGAAAAGAAACAGAAAAACAGGAGUGUUUUGACAGUGUUGGCACCAAGUCCUGUGAUAAGGGACUUGGGUGGACAAAGUCUGUCUCUGUCUCACUUGUACACUUGGCCUUUGGGUCGGCCCUUCCUUCUGGAUUUUGCUGUCUGGAUGAGCCAAAAGGGUAGAGGGGAGACCACCACUCAUCCCAGCUCCCCGCCGUGCUCUUGGGGUUCAAGUGGGCCACAAACGAGUAGGCCAGCUGUACGGCCCUGCAACCCCCACUUUGCUCUGCCCAGCCUGCUUUGUCCCCAGAGAACUUGGCUUAGCAUCAGUCCCCCAAGGGCAGGCCUGAGCCUGGAUAUGAAUAAAGGAAUUUGUUUUUAGA